rnacentral:hammerhead_ribozyme from 1 species
AUUCAGCUGAUGGGUCUCACAUAGGACGAAACGCAUAUCCUGGAU